GACGAACGCUGGCGGCGUGCUUAACACAUGCAAGUCGAACGGAAAGGCCCUGCUUGCAGGGUACUCGCGUGGCGAACGGGUGAGUAACACGUGGGUGAUCUGCCCUGCACUUCGGGAUAAGCCUGGGAAACUGGGUCUAAUACCGGAUAGGAGCCCUUUUUCGUGUUAUUGUUGGAAAGUUUUUUCGGUGUAGGAUGAGCUCGCGGCCUAUCAGCUUGUUGGUGGGGUAAUGGCCUACCAAGGCGGCGACGGGUAGCCGGCCUGGGAGGGUGGACGGCCACAUUGGGACUGGGAUACGGCCCAGACCCCUAAGGGAGGGAGCAGGGGGGAAUAUUGCACAAUGGGCGCAAGCCUGAUGCAGCGACGCCGCGUGGGGGAUGACGGCCUUCGGGUUGUAAACUCCUUUCGCUAGGGACGAAGCUGUUUGUGACGGUACCUAGAUAAGAAGCACCGGCUAACUACGUG
rnacentral:rRNA from 1 species